rnacentral:rRNA from 1 species
CAAUAGCGUAUAUUAAAGUUGUUGCGGUAAAAAAGCUCGUAGUUGGAUUUCUACCGAAGAUAGCCGGUCGGGUCUUCGACCUUGUGUCUGGUUUUGUCUUUGGUAUCCUCAUAGGGAACGUUUCUGCGCUUUAUUGCGUGGUGCGGUAUCUAUGACUUUUACUUUGAGGAAAUUAGAGUGUUCACGGCAGGCAAACGCCUUGAAUAUAUUAGCAUGGAAUAAUAACAUAGGAUCUUCGUCCUAUUUUGUUGGUUUCUAGGGCUAAGAUAAUGAUUAAUAGGGAUAAUUGGGGGCAUCUGUAUCAACGCGUCAGAGGUGGAAUUCUUGGAUUGCGUUGCGACAAACUACUGCGAAAGCAUUUGCCAAGGAUGUUUUCAUUGA